GGGGGGGGGGGGGGGGGGGGGGGGGGGGGGGGGGGCGGGGGGGGGGGGGGGGGGGGUGGGGGUGUGAGGUUAGCGGGGGGCGGGGGGGUGGCACGGGGGUAACCUCGCUGUAGGACUGGGAUAACUUCGGGAAGACGGGGGUCAUCCGGGAUACUCUUUUGAGCCGCAUGGUUCCAAAGUGAAAGACGGUCUUGCUGUCACUGAUCGAUUGCACCGCGCUGCAUGAGCUAGUUGGUUAGGUAACGGCUUACCAAGGCAACGAUGCAUAGCCGACCUGAGAGGGUGAUCGGCCACACUGGAACUGAGACACGGUCCAGACUCCUACGGGAGGCAGCAGUAGGGAAUCUUCCGCAAUGGGCGAAAGCCUGACGGAGCAACGCCGCGUGAGUGAUGAAGGUCUUCGGAUCGUAAAACUCUGUUAUUGGGGAAGAACAUAUGUGUAAGUAACUAUGCACAUCUUGACGGUACCUAAUCAGAAAGCCACGGCUAACUACGUG
rnacentral:rRNA from 1 species